rnacentral:rRNA from 1 species
UACAGAGGUCUCAAGCGUUGUUCGGAUUCAUUGGGCGUAAAGGGUGCGUAGGCGGCGCGGUAAGUCGGGUGUGAAAUUUCGAGGCUUAACUUCGAAACUGCAUUCGAUACUGCCGUGCUUGAGGACUGGAGAGGUGACUGGAAUUUACGGUGUAGCGGUGAAAUGCGUAGAUAUCGUAAGGAAGACCAGUGGCGAAGGCGGGUCUCUGGACAGUUCCUGACGCUGAGGCACGAAGGCCAGGGGAGCAAACGGG